ACUCCCCACCCUGGGAGUGGCAGAUGUGGCUGUGUCACACGCGUGUCAGAAGGCAGCAGAGGGGAGAGCGGCUAUGUCUCUUCUCCGUGUUCUAACCUGUGAAGAUCUCAAUGAUUAGUGGCCUAACAUU